GGGUGAGGUUAAGUCUCGGUACUGUAAAGGUCAUGGCCCUGAUUCAGGCCGAACCUGUC
rnacentral:ncRNA from 1 species